CUUAUCGCUGAUAGCCACCAGAGGCUCCGAAUUGGCACGUCCUUUAUACAGUGAACAUGGUAUAAUUACUGGUAAUGACGAUGAACAAUGGGGAACACAAAAACAAAGGAUGAGAAAGAAAACACACCGAAAA